rnacentral:tRNA from 1 species
GCCCACCGGAGAUCGAUUGAGCGGCGGCUUGGUAAGGCGUAGGUCACCGGUUCAACCCCGGUCGUGGGCUCCA